UUCCGCCUCUCCCCACGACCGCCACUUCCUCGCGACCGAGAUCCCUUGCCGCUCGCCCCGCCUUCCCUGCGACACCGCGUCCCUCACCCUCGCACCACCACCAAGGGCGCCGCCAGCACGCACCACCCUCUCUCUUCCUGCCCUAGCCAUGCCCCCACACAAUCCCGCCCCCCGCGCUCUCCCCCCUACGCAUUACCAAUCUCAUGCCGCCGUCUUUCCUCGACGCCAUUGUGCUUCUUCCCAGCUCCUUCCUCCAGUGCCCAUCUCUUUCCCCUUUGUGCGCCACCUAGCUUGGGCCCCACAAGGGAAGGAUCCAGGUUGUUGUGCCCUCGGCUCUGCUGGACACCAGCCACGCUGGGCUACCUGCUGGUGAAGGAACGGUCGAAUCCGGCCAAGGAACAACAACGGCGGUGAAGGAACGGCCGGAUCCGGUGAAGGGACAACUAGAUGCGAUGAAGGGAGGAGGAAAUCCAGUGCUUGUUCACUUGAUGCGGACACAGAGGCAACAGGUCCGGUGCUGGAGUGAGCACACGUGGAGGUCACGGUAGUGGAACUUGGAUUUGUGGCAGAAAGACUCCUCUCCUAUACCGAUGAUCUCGAUGGCACCCUUGAUGUCAGCAUCGACCUGAUGUGAACACGCAGGUCUGUGCCUGAGAACGGUGGUGAACACCCCUAUGACGGCGGUGGCGACGGGCGGCAAGGCAGGAGGGAAGGUGUCCUUUAAGAUCAUCCUCACCUCCGACCCCAAGCUCCUUUUCAAAAUUGCAUUUCCUACUUGAUGCAGCUAAAUUCUGUGGUGAAUUUGAGAGACUAAAGGUUGUUCUAAAGGAGGUGGCUGCAUCUUAUGGGGAAAUCAUCUUGUUCGUUAUUGAGAUCCAUACAAUUGUUGGUGCAGAAAUGGACGCUUUGAGAGAAGAUGAUUUUUUUUUUGUAUUUUGGAGGAGGCAGCAAAGUGAAGCCAUGCCGAAGAGAUGCACAACCUAUGGCCAUUUCUCUAAAAUUUCAAGAGCUUUUUUUAUCGUCGUGUUUUAUUUUCUUCUCCGUGUGAGUACUAAAUAUUGUGCAUGGUUUGGUUGCAUUUUGGACAUAGAGGAGGAACAAGAUCACGAGAAGAUAAAGGUGUUGCAGUGUUUCAGUCUUGAUGUUUUUUCCAAGCACAGACUGACAAGGAAUCCACGUGGUAUGUUGCAGUGUGGCACCGAGCCACCAUCCCACCGAGGAGGCAGGAGCGCCGAGCAGCGACCAACGGAAUAGUAGCAGCU